rnacentral:rRNA from 1 species
AUUGAACGCUGGCGGCAGGCCUAACACAUGCCAGUCGAACGGUAACAGGAAGCAGCUUGCUGCUUCGCUGACGAGUGGCGGACGGGUGAGUAAUGUCUGGGAAGCUGCCUGAUGGAGGGGGAUAACUACUGGAAACGGUAGCUAAUACCGCAUAAUGUCGCAAGACCAAAGAGGGGGACCUUCGGGCCUCUUGCCAUCGGAUGUGCCCAGAUGGGAUUAGCUUGUUGGUGGGGUAACGGCUCACCAAGGCGACGAUCCCUAGCUGGUCUGAGAGGAUGACCAGCCACACUGGGACUGAGACACGGUCCAGACUCCUACGGGAGGCAGCAGUGGGGAAUAUUGCACAAUGGGCGCAAGCCUGAUGCAGCCAUGCCGCGUGUAUGAAGAAGGCCUUCGGGUUGUAAAGUACUUUCAGCGGGGAGGAAGGGAGUAAAGUUAAUACCUUUGCUCAUUGACGUUACCCGCAGAAGAAGCACCGGCUAACUCCGUG